GGAAAAGAGGUAAGUGGGGAUGAGUUGAAGGAGGAGUAGAAUGAUAGAGACUAGAGAAAGAUUGAUUAUUUUAUUUUCAAUUAGGAAAUUUUGCUGUGUAGUAAAAACACUCUUAUAUUUUGCAUCUCCUGUCCCCUGCCCUCCGUCUCCUCUACCCUGCCCUCCGUCUCCUCUACCCUGCCCUCCGUCUCCUCUACCCUGCCCUCCGUCUCCUCUACCCUGCCCUCCGUCUCCUCUACCCUGCCCUCCGUCUCCUCUACCCUCCUCUCCUCUAACAGGAAUAAAGACACUAAGCAGGAGAUGGUAAACCAGUGGCUUGAGGAUGACUUUGAAUGGCCCACACCCAACACCAGGUCCACCACAACACCUCACCCAGGGACGUACGAUAACCCAGCAUACACCAACGGGGUGUCAAAUAUCUACCAACACUCAAGCGGUCCUCUUCCAACCUACAACCCCAACCCACAGUCGAGCGAAAGAUACCCUCCACCAUACUACCCCUCAGAGCCCCACAACCAAAUGCACAACUUCCCGAGCAACCAGCCUGUAAGGAUCAACCGACCGCAGAUCAGAACAUCUUAUGACUUGUAGCAUCCUCUUACUAACAAGAAAAAGUGCCUACAGAUGCUAAUUUGAGUCAGUACAUUCCUAAAGAAAAUAUUGCACUUUUUACUCCAUACAUCUUCCCUGACAAUCAAAAGUACUCAUUACGUUUUGAAUGCUUAGCAGAACAGGAAAAUAGUCCAAUUCAAGCACUUUUCAGGAGAACAUGUGACCAUCCCUACUGCCUCUGGCCUGGCGGACUCAGUAAGCACAAAUGUAAGCACAAAUGCAUCUUUUGUAAAUAAUCUCUGUUGGUGUUGGAGUGUUGGAGCAUGCCCUUGGCUAUCCUUACAUUUUGAAAAAAAUUAAAUGGUCUGAUUUGCUUAAUAUAAGGAUUUUUAAGUAAUUUACACUUUUACUUUUAGUAAUAAUAUUUACUUUUGAUAUUUAAAGCCAAAUACUUUUAGACUUUUUCUCAAGUAGUAUUUUGAUGACAAUUGGGUACUUUUUCCACCACUGUGUGAUAAAUACACAUGAUUGCUUGCUUGUCUAUGGCGGCCUGAAUAAGCCACAGCUCUCUGUUGUUCAUUAAUCCUCGAGUCAAUUUUGUGAAUCGAAUUAGCAUAAUACAAAAUCCUCAUACAAAUCUGUUUUGUUUAAGCUUGAGAUAUCUGUUUCUAUGCAUGGGCUGCGUCUCAAUUCAUUGCAUCCACGGAUAUCGGCCUUCAGGAUCUGCUGUGAAAGGUGGCAGAACUACAGUUGUGUUUGUCAGAUCAGAAGACCUCCUGAAAAUCAGUACAACUCAAAACAAACUUCCUUUAAAAAAAAGAUUGGGGGGCUCUCUGUUUUUCCAUGUGUGAAUCUAUGAUUCAAUGCAUUUCUUUGACCUAAUAGCAGUAAUGCCAAAUUCAAUGUUUCAUCAAAUAAUUUGGGGACUCUAGAGGUUUAAAGCUGCUAAGUAUUUUGUUCUGAAAUGACAGGGUGAUCAAAUGAAGAUCCUACAUCUGUAUGAACAAAUUGAAUGUGUAAAUGUGGUAAAUACACAUAGGAUUGCUUGUUUAUGGCGGCCGAAUGAGCUGCUGGAUACUCUGCUCUGAGACGGUGUCUCUGCCCAUGUUGUCCAAGUAUGUAUAGCAUAUGUUCUUCCAGGAGGGCUUCGCCCAUGAGAGGAUACCCACAGUAUGAGACCACUGGUGGCCAGCUCAGGAUGCCUGAAACAUAUAGGAUUAAAACAGCUAUGGUAUUUAUACUCAUAAUAUAAUAUUUAUUCAUUUUGACAGUGGAUCAAAUAUAAUUUUAUUGCACUUUAAGAUGAUUUCAAUGUGCAUUUGAUCGUUCUAUGUCUAGCAAUAGUUAUGGAUGGUUAUAAGUAAUAUAGCUUUUAUUUAUUUAUUUGUCUUUGUUUACUUGUUAUUGUAUAUUAGCUCUGUAUUACACUGUAUGCGGUCUGCCAAACAAUUUGUAUCACUGUUAAUACUGUUAUGUAAAUAUGUCAAUCGUAAAUCAGAAAUUGAUAACUAUGAUUUUUGUUAUCAAGAAAUAAAAUAGUUUCUGAAAUGUUCCAAUGUCAGUUGUAAAAAUUCAAAGUUAUUUUUGAAGCCUGAUACAGUACGGUACACAGUGGGGUCCGAAAUUAUUGACACCCUUGAUAAAGAUGAGCAAUAAUGACUGUAUAAAAUAAAUAAUUCAAGUACUGAACUACACUGCAUGAACAAAAGUAAUUGGACCCCUGCUCGUCAAACAUCUCAUUCCAAAAUCAUAGGCAUUAAUAUAGAGUUUGUCCGCCCUUUGCUGCUAUAACAGCUUCCACUCUUCUGGGAAGGUUUUCCACUAGAUGUGGGAACAUUGCGGGGACUUGCUUCCAUUGUGCUAAAAG
rnacentral:lncRNA from 13 species